GUUUGAGUGAAACUUUCAUAUUCAUGGAUAUUUAAUUUCGUGGUUUUUGCAGAGCCUGCGUACAUUCCUUCAGAAAAUUGUCAAUUCGUUUAAUAUUUGAAAUUCGUUGUUCACCUGUACCCACGAAGCCACGAAAAUUGGUAUCCAACUAGUAUUAAUGAAUCGAGAGUAUUUUCCUGACAACUGAAGUGGUAUCAUCUUUGAUUAGAGACAAUACAUCUGAGAAAUCUUGAUGUACGAUGGUACAACUGGUUU
rnacentral:lncRNA from 1 species